rfam:Corchorus olitorius cultivar O-4 contig16321, whole genome shotgun sequence.
UCUGGGCAACUGAUGAAUUCCUUUUUUUAAUGGGUAAUUUGCGUCUGAUUAUUGUUGAUGCUAUCACCUUGGAGAGCUGAUGCCCAUU